rnacentral:rRNA from 1 species
CGAGUCUGCCUUGAAGAUCGGAGUGCUUGCACUCUGUGAAACAAGAUACAGGCUAGCGGCGGACGGGUGAGUAACACGUGGGUAACCUGCCCAAGAGAUCGGGAUAACACCUGGAAACAGAUGCUAAUACCGGAUAACAACAGAUGAUGCCUAUCAACUGUUUAAAAGAUGGUUCUGCUAUCACUCUUGGAUGGACCUGCGGUGCAUUAGCUAGUUGGUAGGGUAACGGCCUACCAAGGCGAUGAUGCAUAGCCGAGUUGAGAGACUGAUCGGCCACAUUGGGACUGAGACACGGCCCAAACUCCUACGGGAGGCAGCAGUAGGGAAUCUUCCACAAUGGACGCAAGUCUGAUGGAGCAACGCCGCGUGAGUGAAGAAGGGCUUCGGCUCGUAAAGCUCUGUUGUUGGUGAAGAAGGACAGGGGUAGUAACUGACCUUUGUUUGACGGUAAUCAAUUAGAAAGUCACGGCUAACUACGUGCCAGCAGCCGCGGUAAUACGUAGGCGGCAAGCGUUGUCCGGAUUUAUUGGGCGUAAAGCGAGUGCAGGCGGCUCGAUAAGUCUGAUGUGAAAGCCUUCGGCUCAACCGGAGAAUUGCAUCAGAAACUGUCGAGCUUGAGUACAGAAGAGGAGAGUGGAACUCCAUGUGUAGCGGUGAAAUGCAUAGAUAUAUGGAAGAACACCGGUGGCGAAGGCGGCUCUCUGGUCUGUUACUGACGCUGAGGCUCGAAAGCAUGGGUAGCGAACAGGAUUAGAUACCCUGGUAGUCCAUGCCGU